UACGUAGGGUGCAAGCGUUGUCCGGAAUUAUUGGGCGUAAAGAGCUCGUAGGCGGCCUGUUGCGUCCGCUGUGAAAUCCCGGGGCUUAACCCCGGGCGUGCAGUGGAUACGGGCUGGCUGGAGGCAGGCAGGGGAGAACGGAAUUCCCGGUGUAGCGGUGAAAUGCGCAGAUAUCGGGAGGAACACCGGUGGCGAAGGCGGUUCUCUGGGCCUGUUCUGACGCUGAGGAGCGAAAGCGUGGGGAGCAAACAGG
rnacentral:rRNA from 1 species